UUUAAAGUGAUUGAGAUUAUAAAAAAAGUUCAAACAUAUGCGUAGUAAUUGGAUUGGAUUAUUAAUCUCACCAACGCGGAAGGACCGAAGUUCAAUCACUUACGGUUUCGUCAGGCCCUUGGCGCCGGAAAAAUCCGAUUAACGAGCUGCAGUAUGAAAAAACCUGAGCAUAGAGAUCUGUCGUCUCAAUGGAAUAGAUUAUGUUAGCCACCAUAUGAUGAAGUUCACUUAAGCCAAUAGAUAGCUGGAGUUCAUUACUGGAAGCAUGGAAACAAAGGUUCGGCCGUGUUCUACAAGAUGAAGUUCGUUUGAACCGAAUUGGCAAGCAUUUGUUUGAUUUUUUGGAAAAUCAAUUUCUGAUAAAAGUUUCAAGGUACAGUGAUUUCAGGCAUUUCCUUCAGCAACUUCUAGACAGAAUCACAACUGACGAUGCUAGAAAAGCUGCACAAGCCUCAAAUCUCUCAUUACAAACCCUUCUACACCUCGACAGUUUUGGCUGCAUCUGCUAUACGACUCC